AGCCACUGACUCAAAUUAGUUCACCAGGAUGCUGACUUUAUCCAACAGAUCUGUUGAUGCAGUGCUGAAUCUGAAGCCCGGCCCAAAUACGCACUCACUGAAGAUAAGUAAGGAACAGACUGGUAAAGGCAGGCCCAGUGACAGAAGUGAGAAGUAACCGCA